UGCAUCGCUGAUGAUGUUUUGGCUCCCUCUACUGAACUCUAUGAGGAAGCACGCCAUUGUUACCCAAUUUUCGUCUGAGAUGUG
ensembl:snoRNA